AGCUGCGCCAGUACUGCGCAGAUGUGGGUGCGUUGAGUGGACACGUUAGGUUAAGUGCUACGAAAUCAAAGUUAUUGUUUCGUUUCAAUCGUUUCGUUAAAAAGGUAUCAAUUUAUCGCACUUGCGUCAGAAUAGACGCUAUAAUUGAAUAAACGUUUUGUGGACGACCAGCUUGCAAAUAUGGACGACAAACUUCGGCAAAUGGAAGAUGAAAUGAACAGAUUUGAAGCUGAAAUCGGAGGGCAGCUUGUAACACCAAUUGUACGACCAGUAAUUGGUGCAAAUACAUAUAGUCAAGUCGCUAGGCAAUUGGAACAACAUGAACUUCCUACGCCAGUAGUUGCGGCAGCUGCUGCAGCGACGUUAGCAUUUCCCCCAAUGAUUGGAUUUCCUCCACCGCCACCACCUCCACCUCCUCCUCCACCUCCACCAAUGUUAAUUCCUCAACAAGUUGCACGACAAGGUACAGUUCCCAUUACAACAUAUUCCUCACCCGCACAAAUAAGUAAUCCAUAUAUAUCAAAUAUGGUUGAUCCGUGUCUAAGUGCAACCCCAAAAACAUACGAUUCUACGUCAACGCCAAUGAUCCAUCCUGAAAUUAUUGAACAAAUUAUUAAUACAAAAAUACCUGAAGAUGAGGGUAAAAAGAAACCAAAAGUAAAGGGUGUCAGCACAGCUGCUGAGUUAGCUAUUAGCCAAGGCAAAGCAAGUUCCAUUAUGGCUAAUGCUAGUGCAGAGGAGAGUCAUCCCAAGGGUAAAGGAAAAAAAAAUAAGAAGAUUAUAAGAACAGCUGGCGGUCAAACGUGGGAAGAUCCUUCUUUGCUAGAAUGGGACGAAGAUGAUUUCAGAAUAUUUUGCGGGGAUCUAGGAAAUGAUGUCACUGAUGAAAUGUUGGUCAGAGUAUUUGGAAAAUAUCCUAGUUUUCAAAAAGCAAAGGUAGUCAGAGAUAAACGGACAAAUAAAACCAAAGGCUUUGGAUUUGUGUCUUUUAAGGAUCCACAAGAUUUUAUCAAAGCAAUGAAAGAAAUGAAUGAAGCCGCAAGAAAGUGACAAAGAGUUCGACGCGUGGGCGAGCUCGAGAGAGAGAGAAAAAAGGAGAAUGAGAGGACCGAGGUCAUGAGCCCCUUCGACGUAAUGCGUUCUCUUUGGCGGAAUUUCUCAUUGAUGCCCGGCUAUUCGAAUGGAUAUUUUUGGCCCCACUAUCUCGCGCUCUCGGGAUUUCGAUGCAACUGCAUAUAUGGGUUACGCACAAGCCGCUUUUGUUUCCCGAUACUGUUGAUUUAAUAGCGCUUAGCUUUUACACGUCCUUCGAGGAUACGAAAUACGAGAGUAUCUACGUAAAGUGACGAUACGUCGGAUCGCGUCCGAUUAAGCUUCGAAAGAGUUCCUGGAAACAGAGGAAUCUGGAAUCUGUGCGGAAAAAAGAGAAGGAGAAGCAAGCGUUGAUUGGACUGCUUACUGGCCGAUAAGAAAGAAAAAGAG